AACGAACGCUGGCGGCAGGCCUAACACAUGCAAGUCGAACGCCCGUAGCAAUACGGGAGUGGCAGACGGGUGAGUAACGCGUGGGAACGUGCCCUUGGUUCGGAAUAACUCAGGGAAACUUGAGCUAAUACCGGAUACGUCCGUAAGGAGAAAGAUUUAUCGCCGAAGGAUCGGCCCGCGUCGGAUUAGCUAGUUGGUGAGGUAACGGCCCACAAGGCGACGAUCCGUAGCUGGGUCUGAGAGGACNGAUCAGCCACACUGGGACUGAGACACGGCCCAGACUCCUACGGGAGGCAGCAGUGGGGAAUAUUGGACAAUGGGCGAAAGCCUGAUCCAGCCAUGCCGCGUGAGUGAAGAAGGCCUUAGGGUUGUAAAGCUCUUUCAGC
rnacentral:rRNA from 1 species